AGGAGGAGGACCAGGAUUGGUUCAUCCCUUCGCGCGACCUCAACAACCAGGGGGUGGGGCAGCUGCAGCAGCAGCUCAACGGCCUGUCGGUCAGCGAUCACCACAACAACCUGGAGGAAGUGGCGAGGAAGAGCAUCUUGAAUCCUGAAGCAAAGGAGUUUGUCCCGGGGAAGAAAUACUAGGAGUCCCCCUCACCCCCAUGGAGCCUCAGCACGCACGCACACACAUGCAUACACAAACACACUCAGACACAUGCACCAGUCCUCUCAUAUUCUCAGAGACUCUGGCGGCCACGGCCGCACACACACUGAUCCUCACACGCAAGCAUGCACACGCACACACUUGAAGUCAGUGGCGUGCUGCCAGGCCCGAUUGGGGGGUGGGGGGUUUUCUUUUUUUUUUUUCUUUUUUUUUCUUCAAUCUUUUUAUUUCCUGUUUGUUUCUUGUAAACUGAGGGACAUUGGGGAUGGGUGGGAGAGGGGGUGUAGUACCAGCUCUGCCCUUCUGUGGGCGCUAGCUCAUCAUUGCAUUUCACACCACGCUGUUGAUGUUUACAGAGCAUGCAGAUCUCAGCAAGUCCCUUGAAAAAUAGGCAGCUACUUGGGAGUGAUGCCAAGACAAAGUCUAAAUUCCAAAAGUUUAGUCUUUUUUUUGUUUCAGUGUUAAUUUGUGUCUAAUUGGGUGAAAAAAAACAAAACAAACAAACACAUUUCCAGCAGGUUGAAGGUUACUAUGUUGCUGAGGUCAGAAGGAUGAACAUUUCAGGGGACUGCAGCGGGCUUCUGCCGUUGCUCUGUAAAGCCAUCACAGUAACCCGUUAGCGUUUGCUCCUACGAUGUCCUGUGACAUCACGGCUCGUGUUUAUCUAAACGAUGGAUGGUUAUUUGUAUCUGCAGCGGCUCUGUUCCAAACCACGUGCAAACCCCUCAGCCCUCUCCCUGCCGGUUGAAUCGAUCCGAACGCUCAUGGACGGGUGGCAUCAUGGAGAAGAACUUGUUUUCCCAAUUUGUGUUGACAUCCAUGCUUAUUUUUCAUCAAGUAUCCCAAUCAUGAGUUAAAUAAAGGAGUUGAAUAAAAUUGUCAAACAUCAAACUUUUUUUUUUUUAAA